rnacentral:lncRNA from 1 species
ACCUAAACAAAGAAGACUAAGAAAAAUGAGAGAUGAAUAGGUCAUGGAGAAGGAAAGUCACUAUUGGCAGAGAAGAUUGACUUAGAUUGGUAUCUGCCAUCCGCCUACUCUGUUCUUACUGGUGAACAUCCUUGGUUGAGUGCAUUUUAGAGUGGCUGAAGGUCGAAUUGAGCAAGCAGUGUUUUCUGAGCCAUCAGCUCACGUGCACCUUUGUCUCUCACAGAUUCUACUUUGCAAUCUGCUAAGACAAGAUGGAAAAACUAAUGCAUCUGAAUCUCUUUCUCCUCGGCAUAGAAAUUGCCUGUGCUCUUCAGUGUAGACUUUGCAUUGACUACUACAAUGGCGUGUGUGAAAAGAAGGAGACAACAUGCAUUGCCAAGGAUGGUGCCAGCUGUAAGAGUUAUAGAGAAUCUUCUGAAGCCAACUGUAAGUGUCUCAAGGCCUCCAAGGUUCUGGUGAGGGAAUGAUAGCUUUAUUUCCUUAUCCUCCAGGGCUCAAAUCAUCUUCUAAGAUGUCAUGUUUGGACACAAUGAUUUUGUGGAGAGUAAGUGAGGUUCUGAGCCUGGAGGUGAGAUCAUCCUGACAGGAAUUUUCUAUUUGUGCCUAGGAUAAAAGGGGACUGAUUGGACCUGUGGUCACUCACUACAGUUCUGAUUCCUUCAUCAGUGUCCCAGGAACCCCAAAUCCACAUCCAAAGGAUCCUAACUCUUAGAAUCUUUAAAUAUGCUAUUUUCCCACUAUCCUGGUUGCAUCUGCCCCUGCUUGUCUAUUAUUGACCUGGCUUCUAUCUCACCUGAGAGUCACCUGCCCAGGAAACCUUUGACCCUCCAGAAUGUCCACUUGCACCUCCUCAGCAUUUGCACUGCAUCCCCGUCAUGGCCAUCCCACAGCAUCUAUCCCAGUGUCUACUAAUUCCCCGUUAUAGCUGCAAUUCUAGACUCAUUAUAAUAGGGUCUGAUUGCUCAGCAUCUACUGGCCCCUACUCUAAGAACAGAAUGUAAUAGGUCUUCGACAAGGGUCUUCAGCCUGUCUGGCUGAGAGGGAAGUCUCCUGGGCACUGCCCACCUCUAGAACCACAUCUUAAGGGCUGGCAUUGUGAUGUAGCAGGUUAAGGUGCCACCUGCAAUACCUGCAUUCCAUAUGGGUGCCGGUUCAAGUCCCGGCUGCUCCACCUUUUUUUUUUUUUGACAGGCAGAGUGGACAGUGAGAGAGAGAGACAGAGAAAGGUCCUCCUUUGCCGUUGGUUCACCCUCCAAUGGCCGCCACGGCCGGCGCGCUGCGGCCAGUGCACCGCGCUGAUCAGAUGCAGGAGCCAGGUGUUUAUCCUGGUCUCCCAUGGGGUGCAGGGCCCAA